UAACGAUGGUAAGUGUUGAUUAAAUAAAGUAUUCUAGUUUAUAACUUUUUAGUUUAUGUUUAGUAGAAAUUUAUAUGCAUAUCUUUAUCAUUUGAUAGUUUAUUUUAAGUUAAAACUUUACUUUUUUUAGCAUCAGACCAGAGAUUUGCACUAAUAUUGUCAGAAUUAGCCGCUUUAAGAGCAGAAUUAAACAAAGAAAGGAACUCUAAAGAUGCAUCAAGCUUACCAACUGAUCAGGGUUCUUCAGUCAUAUCAACACUUCCGGCUCAGGAAGUAGUCAACAACCUCUCUAGUUCAACAAGUACUCCCAAUGAUGACAUCAAGGAUUCAAAUGGAUUUUCAUUUAACCAGUUCUUGCUUUGGCGUACUACGCAUCCUGGUCCGAAGACACGCAAAGCAUUUAAUGUUUGGGCCCGACAAGGUGGCAAAGACCUCCCCAACUUUCGAUGGGGAGGUAGAACUGGGAGCCGCAAGGGUCGCGGACAAGGUGGCCGAGGAGGUGGCGGUAAAGGGUCUUUUGUACUAGGGCGUUUGUAUUUUCAGCUCUAGUUUUUAUUUUAUGUGUAGUUUUAUACUUAUUUAUGUUGAUGUUGUUGCUUUAUAAUUUUAUAUAUGUAUUUUUUAUUUGAAGUAAAAAAGAACAACAUUUCUUAUUUAA